AGGAAGCAAAAUAAAAGACAUUAUCCAAGAAAUUGAUAAGUGUUGGGACGCAAAAGAGUAUAAAUGACUUUUUA